rnacentral:lncRNA from 1 species
UGAAGUAAAUGUCUUCUUGACCGUGAGGGUGGCACCGUUGAACACACAGUCUUCUAGCAGGUAGUGUGCUUUCCAGGAAGGAGCCCCUUCUUCUCACAGGUGGCCGGAAGCACCCUACUAUGGGUCAUCAAGUCUACCGAUAUCAGCUCCAGCGCCUGUCGGAGGAAGGUACCUUCAAACCAUGGAGUGAAAUCCAGUUUUUCCUCCCAAAUGCCAGCUGGAUCUUCUGAGGAUGAUUUGCUGUCUUGCUGUGAAUGUGCCACUUGAUGUCACCUCCUAAAGCUCCUGACCUGGUAAACCGGCUGCCAGCAGCCUGUAAGGGCCGAUGGACAGCCCGUCAGAGCCAGGGACCGCGGGGGACUCCAGGUUCAAAGGUGAGAAUCUUCCUGCUUCACACUUGUGGCCCCAGCAUCUGGAGAGACUUUGGAGAAUGGAGACUCCAUGGUGUACCCAGCACGUCUCCCACGCUCUUGUCCUUUUGCCCAGCCGCCCAGCUCAGCUUGGGAUGGCCAGUGGCAGACAGGAGGAGCAGGCCUCCUUGCUAGCCAUGCCUGCUGGGCAGCAGCGGUUUCUGUCAUUACAGCAGGCCCCAGCUCACAGGGGCAGGAUGAAGAGGAUACUUGGGUCCUGUCCCUGCAGUCAUACCUAUUAAGGACAUUUAAGUCACAUUUAAGGCACUGAGACCAAAUGGCUCUAAAUUGCUUUGCAGUUAAUCAUUGUGAAGAGGCAGAGCCCACCUGGGAGGUAAAUCACACAGAAAUGUCUCCGAGAUGACAUUAAUCAACCCUGGUGUCAUGCUUUCUGGGUAGAGACUGAGGAGACUGAGUGACAUGGGAAGAGCAGGCCCGGGCACCAGGGUGGACAAAGUGUCCAGAGUCCUCAAGGGUACAGGUGGAAGCCUGGGUUUCUAGAAAGCAGAUCCAGCUCCCACACAGACACACUGGGAUUCCCUUUGAUUAAAUUGUGUCAUGUUCAACAACCUUUGCACAGAAAAAGGAAGGAGAGGACCAGACUCCAGCAUUAAUCAUUUAUUUGUGUGGACCUGAUCAUGGCCGAGGAUGAGAAGGAAAUGAUUCUACUCACUAUUGGCUUCCUGAGAGGCAAGGAAGGGCCCCCAGAGUAAGGAGGGUGAGCCCAGAGCUCCACACAAUCCAGAUGAGGAAGACAGGGCAUGCAGUGUCCACCCUGAUGGCC